UACGUAGGGGGCAAGCGUUGUCCGGAUUUAUUGGGCGUAAAGAGCUCGUAGGUGGUUCGGUAAGUCGGAUGUGAAAUCUCCAGGCUCAACCUGGAGGGGUCAUUCGAUACUGCCGUGACUAGAGUUCGGUAGGGGAGUGUGGAAUUCCUGGUGGAGCGGUGAAAUGCGCAGAUAUCAGGAGGAACACCCGUAGCGAAGGCAGCACUCUGGGCCGGUACUGACGCUGAGGAGCGAAAGCGUGGGGAGCGAACAGG
rnacentral:rRNA from 1 species